rfam:Danio rerio chromosome 21, GRCz11 reference primary assembly.
AUCCACUAUACUUGUAAGUCGCUUUGGAUAAAAGCGUCUGCUAAAUUACUAAAU